GACGAACGCUGGCGGCGUGCUUAACACAUGCAAGUCGAACGGAAAGGCCCUGCUUUUGUGGGGUGCUCGAGUGGCGAACGGGUGGGUAACACGUGAGUAGCCUGCCCUUUACUUUGGGAUAACUUCAGGAAACUGGGGCUAAUACCGGAUAGGAGCUCCUGCUGCAUGGUGUGGGUUGGAAAGUUUGGGCGGUUGGGGAUGGACUCGCGGCUUAUCAGCUUGUUGGUGGGGUAGUGGCUUACCAAGGCUUUGACGGGUAGCCGGCCUGAGAGGGUGAACGGCCACCUGGGGACUGAGAUACGGCGCAGACUCCUACGGGAGGCAGUAGUGGGGAAUAUUGCGCAAUGGGCGGAAGCCUGAUGCAGAAACGCCGCGUGCGGGAUGACGGCCUUCGGGUUGUAAACCGCUUUCGCCUGUGACGAAGCGUGAGUGACGGUAAUGGGUAAAGAAGCACCGGCUAACUACGUG
rnacentral:rRNA from 1 species